CCUUCCGUCCCAGCCUUGGGUGGGGAACCACCAGACUUGCCCUCCAAGAUAUAUUGGAGGGGCAAGUCUGGUGCCAGCAGCCGCGGUAAUUCCAGCUCCAAGAGCGUAUAUUAAAGUUGUUGCAGUUAAAAAGCUCGUAGUUGAACCUUGGGUUUUGGAGGGAGGUCCACCUCACGGUGAGUACUUCCAUAUCCAAGACCUUUCCUCUGCUUCCUCGCAAGAGGCAGCAGAAUAUUACUUUGAGUAAAUGAGAGUGUUCAAAGCAGGCGCACGCUUGAAUCUGUUAGCAUGGAAUAAUAGAAUAGGACGCAUGGUUCUAUUUUGUUGGUUUCUAGGACCAUCGUAAUGAUUAAUAGGGACGGUCGGGGGCAUCAGUAUUCAGUUGUCAGAGGUGAAAUUCUUGGAUUUACUGAAGACUAACUACUGCGAAAGCAUUUGCCAAGGACGUUUUCAUUAAUCAAGAACGAAAGUUAGGCCCUCCGAAGAUGAUCUAGAAC
rnacentral:rRNA from 1 species